GGCUCGGUAGCUUAGUUGGUAAAGCGCUCGUCUAGCAUACAAGAGUCCUGGGUUCGAAUCCCAGCCCACCCA
rnacentral:tRNA from 1 species